rnacentral:rRNA from 1 species
GACGAACGCUGGUGGCGUGCUUAACACAUGCAAGUCGAACGGAAAGGCCCUGCUUUUGUGGGGUGCUCGAGUGGCGAACGGGUGAGUAACACGUGAGUAACCUGCCCUUGACUUUGGGAUAACUUCAGGAAACUGGGGCUAAUACCGGAUAGGAGCUCCUGCUGCAUAGUGGGGGUUGGAAAGUUUCGGCGGUUGGGGAUGGACUCGCGGCUUAUCAGCUUGUUGGUGGGGUAGUGGCUUACCAAGGCUUUGACGGGUAGCCGGCCUGAGAGGGUGACCGGCCACAUUGGGACUGAGAUACGGCCCAGACUCCUACGGGAGGCAGCAGUGGGGAAUAUUGCACAAUGGGCGGAAGCCUGAUGCAGCAACGCCGCGUGCGGGAUGACGGCCUUCGGGUUGUAAACCGCUUUCGCCUGUGACGAAGCGUGAGUGACGGUAAUGGGUAAAGAAGCACCGGCUAACUACGUGCCAGCAGCCGCGGUGAUACGUAGGGUGCGAGCGUUGUCCGGAUUUAUUGGGCGUAAAGGGCUCGUAGGUGGUUGAUCGCGUCGGAAGUGUAAUCUUGGGGCUUAACCCUGAGCGUGCUUUCGAUACGGGUUGACUUGAGGAAGGUAGGGGAGAAUGGAAUUCCUGGUGGAGCGGUGGAAUGCGCAGAUAUCAGGAGGAACACCAGUGGCGAAGGCGGUUCUCUGGGCCUUUCCUGACGCUGAGGAGCGAAAGCGUGGGGAGCGAACAGGCUUAGAUACCCUGGUAGUCCACGCUGUAAACGGUGGGUACUAGGUGUGGGGUCCAUUCCACGGGUUCCGUGCCGUAGCUAACGCUUUAAGUACCCCGCCUGGGGAGUACGGCCGCAAGGCUAAAACUCAAAGGAAUUGACGGGGCCUCGCACAAGCGGCGGAGCAUGCGGAUUAAUUCGAUGCAACGCGUAGAACCUUACCUGGGUUUGACAUGGAUCGGGAGUGCUCAGAGAUGGGUGUGCCUCUUUUGGGGUCGGUUCACAGGUGGUGCAUGCCUGUCGUCAGCUCGUGUCGUGAGAUGUUGGGUUAAGUCCCGCAACGAGCGCAACCCUUGUUCACUGUUGCCAGCACGUUAUGGUGGGGACUCAGUGGAGACCGCCGGGGUCAACUCGGAGGAAGGUGGGGAUGACGUCAAGUCCUCACGUCCCUUAUGUCCAGGGCUUCACGCAUGCUACAAUGGCUGGUACAGAGAGUGGCGAGCCUGUGAGGGUGAGCGAAUCUCGGAAAGCCGGUCUCAGUUCGGAUUGGGGUCUGCAACUCGACCUCAUGAAGUCGGAGUCGCUAGUAAUCGCAGAUCAGCAACGCUGCGGUGAAUACGUUCCCGGG